rnacentral:rRNA from 1 species
AGUGAACGCUGGCGGUAGGCCUAACACAUGCAAGUCGAACGGCAGCACAGUAAGAGCUUGCUCUUACGGGUGGCGAGUGGCGGACGGGUGAGGAAUACAUCGGAAUCUACUUUUUCGUGGGGGAUAACGUAGGGAAACUUACGCUAAUACCGCAUACGACCUACGGGUGAAAGCAGGGGAUCUUCGGACCUUGCGCGAUUGAAUGAGCCGAUGUCGGAUUAGCUAGUUGGCGGGGUAAAGGCCCACCAAGGCGGCGAUCCGUAGCUGGUCUGAGAGGAUGAUCAGCCACACUGGAUCUGAGACACGGUCCAGACUCCUACGGGAGGCAGCAGUGGGGAAUAUUGGACAAUGGGCGCAAGCCUGAUCCAGCCAUACCGCGUGGGUGAAGAAGGCCUUCGGGUUGUAAAGCCCUUUUGUUGGGAAAGAAAAGCAGCAGGUUAAUACCCCGCUGUUCUGACGGUACCCAAAGAAUAAGCACCGGCUAACUUCGUG